rnacentral:rRNA from 1 species
CCUGCCCAAGAGAUCGGGAUAACACCUGGAAACAGAUGCUAAUACCGGAUAACAANAGAUGAUGCCUAUCAACUGUUUAAAAGAUGGUUCUGCUAUCACUCUUGGAUGGACCUGCGGUGCAUUAGCUAGUUGGUAGGGUAACGGCCUACCAAGGCGAUGAUGCAUAGCCGAGUUGAGAGACUGAUCGGCCACAUUGGGACUGAGACACGGCCCAAACUCCUACGGGAGGCAGCAGCU